GACGGAAGGUGCAAGCGUUGCUCGGAAUCACUGGGCGUAAAGGGUGCGUAGGCGGCCGUGCAAGUCUGGCGUGAAAGCCCCGGGCUCAGCCCGGGAAGUGCGCUCGAAACUGCGCGGCUCGAGUGCCGGAGGGGAGAGUGGAAUUCCUGGUGUAGCGGUGAAAUGCGCAGAUAUCAGGAGGAACACCGGUGGCGAAGGCUAGUCUCUGGACAGUUACUGACACUGAGGCACGAAGGCCAGGGGAGCAAACGGG
rnacentral:rRNA from 1 species